UACGUAGGGUGCAAGCGUUGUCCGGAAUUAUUGGGCGUAAAGCGUGCGCAGGCGGUUGUGCAAGACAGAUGUGAAAUCCCCGGGCUCAACCUGGGAACUGCAUUUGUGACUGCACGGCUGGAGUGCGGCAGAGGGGGAUGGAAUUCCGCGUGUAGCAGUGAAAUGCGUAGAUAUGCGGAGGAACACCGAUGGCGAAGGCAAUCCCCUGGGCCUGCACUGACGCUCAUGCACGAAAGCGUGGGGAGCAAACAGG
rnacentral:rRNA from 1 species